rnacentral:rRNA from 1 species
AGAGCGAAUGGUGGAUGCCUUGACUGGUAAAGGCGAUGAAGGACGUACUAGACUGCGAUAAGCUACGGGGAGCUGUCAAGAAGCUUUGAUCCGUAGAUUUCCGAAUGGGGCAACCCAAUGUAUAGAGAUAUACAUUACCUAUAUAGGAGCGAACGAGGGGAAUUGAAACAUCUUAGUACCCUCAGGAAAAGAAAUCAAUAGAGAUUGCGUCAGUAGCGGCGAGCGAAAGCGCAAGAGGGCAAACCCAGUGCUUGCACUGGGGGUUGUAGGACUGCAAUGUGCAAGAGGUGAGUUUAGCAGAACAUUCUGGAAAGUAUAGCCAUAGAGGGUGAUAGUCCCGUAUGCGAAAAACAAACCUUAGCUAGCAGUAUCCUGAGUAGGGCGGGACACGAGAAAUCCUGUCUGAAGCUGGGUCGACCACGAUCCAACCCUAAAUACUAAUACCAGAUCGAUAGUGCACAAGUACCGUGAGGGAAAGGUGAAAAGAACUGAGGUGAUCAGAGUGAAAUAGAACCUGAAACCAUUUGCUUACAAUCAUUCAGAGCACUAUGUAGCAAUACAGUGUGAUGGACUGCCUUUUGCAUAAUGAGCCUGCGAGUUGUGGUGUCUGGCAAGGUUAAGCAAACGCGAAGCCGUAGCGAAAGCGAGUCUGAAUAGGGCGCUUAGUCAGAUGCUGCAGACCCGAAACGAAGUGAUCUAUCCAUGAGCAAGUUGAAGCUAGUGUAAGAACUAGUGGAGGACUGAACCCAUAGGCGUUGAAAAGCCCCGGGAUGACUUGUGGAUAGGGGUGAAAGGCCAAUCAAACUUCGUGAUAGCUGGUUCUCUCCGAAAUAUAUUUAGGUAUAGCGUUGUGUCGUAAUAUAAGGGGGUAGAGCACUGAAUGGGCUAGGGCAUACACCAAUGUACCAAACCCUAUCAAACUCCGAAUACCUUAUAUGUAAUCACAGCAGUCAGGCGGCGAGUGAUAAAAUCCGUCGUCAAGAGGGAAACAACCCAGACUACCAGCUAAGGUCCCUAAAUCUUACUUAAGUGGAAAACGAUGUGAAGUUACUUAAACAACCAGGAGGUUGGCUUAGAAGCAGCCAUCCUUUAAAGAAAGCGUAAUAGCUCACUGGUCUAGUGAUUUUGCGCGGAAAAUAUAACGGGGCUAAAGUAAGUACCGAAGCUGUAGACUUGACUUUGUCAAGUGGUAGGAGAGCGUUCUAUUUGCGUCGAAGGUAUACCGGUAAGGAGUGCUGGAGCGAGUAGAAGUGAGCAUGCAGGCAUGAGUAGCGAUAAUUAAUGUGAGAAUCAUUAACGCCGUAAACCCAAGGUUUCCUACGCGAUGCUCGUCAUCGUAGGGUUAGUCGGGUCCUAAGUCGAGUCCGAAAGGGGUAGACGAUGGCAAAUUGGUUAAUAUUCCAAUACCAACAUUAGUGUGCGAUGGAAGGACGCUUAGGGCUAAGGGGGCUAGCGGAUGGAAGUGCUAGUCUAAGGUCGUAGGUGCUUAUACAGGCAAAUCCGUAUAAGAAUACACCGAGAACUGAAAGGCUUUUUGAAGUCUUCGGAUGGAUAGAAGAACCCCUGAUGCCGUCGAGCCAAGAAAAGUUUCUAAGUUUAGCUAAUGUUGCCCGUACCGUAAACCGACACAGGUGGGUGGGAUGAGUAUUCUAAGGCGCGUGGAAGAACUCUCUUUAAGGAACUCUGCAAAAUAGCACCGUAUCUUCGGUAUAAGGUGUGGUUCGCUUCGUAUUAGGAUUUACUCCGAAAGCGAAGAAACUUACAACAAAGAGUCCCUCCCGACUGUUUACCAAAAACACAGCACUCUGCUAACUCGUAAGAGGAUGUAUAGGGUGUGACGCCUGCCCGGUGCUCGAAGGUUAAUUGAUGGGGUUAGCAUUAGCGAAGCUCUUGAUCGAAGCCCGAGUAAACGGCGGCCGUAACUAUAACGGUCCUAAGGUAGCGAAAUUCCUUGUCGGUUAAAUACCGACCUGCAUGAAUGGCGUAACGAGAUGGGAGCUGUCUCAAAGAGGGAUCCAGUGAAAUUGUAGUGGAGGUGAAAAUUCCUCCUACCCGCGGCAAGACGGAAAGACCCCGUGGACCUUUACUACAGCUUGACACUGCUACUUGGAUAAGAAUGUGCAGGAUAGGUGGGAGGCUUUGAGUAUAUGACGCCAGUUGUAUAUGAGCCAUUGUUGAGAUACCACUCUUUCUUAUUUGGGUAGCUAACCAGCUUGAGUUAUCCUCAAGUGGGACAAUGUCUGGUGGGUAGUUUGACUGGGGCGGUCGCCUCCCAAAUAAUAACGGAGGCUUACAAAGGUUGGCUCAGAACGGUUGGAAAUCGUUCGUAGAGUAUAAAGGUAUAAGCCAGCUUAACUGCAAGACAUACAAGUCAAGCAGAGACGAAAGUCGGUCUUAGUGAUCCGGUGGUUCUGUGUGGAAGGGCCAUCGCUCAAAGGAUAAAAGGUACCCCGGGGAUAACAGGCUGAUCUCCCCCAAGAGCUCACAUCGACGGGGAGGUUUGGCACCUCGAUGUCGGCUCAUCGCAUCCUGGGGCUGGAGCAGGUCCCAAGGGUAUGGCUGUUCGCCAUUUAAAGCGGUACGCGAGCUGGGUUCAGAACGUCGUGAGACAGUUCGGUCCCUAUCUGCCGUGGGCGUAAGAAGAUUGAAGAGAUUUGACCCUAGUACGAGAGGACCGGGUUGAACAAACCACUGGUGUAGCUGUUGUUCUGCCAAGAGCAUCGCAGCGUAGCUAAGUUUGGAAAGGAUAAACGCUGAAAGCAUCUAAGCGUGAAGCCAACUCUAAGAUGAAUCUUCUCUAAGCUCUCUAGAAGACUACUAGUUUGAUAGGCUGGGUGUGUAAUGGAUGAAAGUCCUUUAGCUGACCAGUACUAAUAGAGCGUUUGGCUUAUCU